rnacentral:rRNA from 1 species
CGGCGGACGGGUGAGUAACGCGUGGGUAACCUACCCUGUACACACGGGUAACAUACCGAAAGGUAUGCUAAUACGGGAUAAUAUAUUUGAGAGGCAUCUCUUGAAUAUCAAAGGUGAGCCAGUACAGGAUGGACCCGCGUCUGAUUAGCUAGUUGGUAAGGUAACGGCUUACCAAGGCGACGAUCAGUAGCCGACCUGAGAGGGUGAUCGGCCACAUUGGAACUGAGACACGGUCCAA